CAGCAGCCACGGUAAUACGUAGGGUGCAAGCGUUAAUCGGAAUUACUGGGCGUAAAGCGUGCGCAGGCGGUUUUGUAAGUCUGUCGUGAAAUCCCCGGGCUCAACCUGGGAAUGGCGAUGGAGACUGCAAGGCUGGAAUCUGGCAGAGGGGGGUAGAAUUCCACGUGUAGCAGUGAAAUGCGUAGAUAUGUGGAGGGACACCGAUGGCGAAGGCAGCCCCCUGGGCUAAGAUUGACGCUCAUGCACGAAAGCGUGGGGAGCAAACAGGAUUAGAUACCCGAGUAGUCCCUGUCUCUUAUAC
rnacentral:rRNA from 1 species